rnacentral:rRNA from 1 species
UACAGAGGGUGCAAGCGUUGUUCGGAAUCAUUGGGCGUAAAGCGCGCGUAGGCGGCCCAACAAGUCUAAUGUGAAAUCCCUGGGCUCAACUCAGGAAGUGCAUUGGAUACUGUUGGGCUUGAGUCCUGGAGAGGGUGGUAGAAUUCCCAGUGUAGAGGUGAAAUUCGUAGAUAUUGGGAGGAAUACCAGUGGCGAAGGCGACCACCUGGACGGAGACUGACGCUGAGGCGCGAAAGCGUGGGGAGCAAACAGG